rnacentral:rRNA from 1 species
AUACGGAGGAUCCGAGCGUUAUCCGGAUUUAUUGGGUUUAAAGGGUGCGCAGGCGGCCAUUUAAGUCAGCGGUUAAAUCGUGGGGCUCAACCCCAUUCUGCCGUUGAUACUGGGUGGCUUGAUUGCGGUCGAGGUUGGCGGAAUUCGUUGUGUAGCGGUGAAAUGCAUAGAUAUGACGAAGAACACCGAUUGCGUAGGCAGCUGACCAGACCGCAAAUGACGCUCAUGUACGAAAGUGCGGGGAUCGAACAGGAUUAGAUACCCUGGUAGUCCGCACAGUAAACGAUGAAUACUUGUUUUCGGCGAUAUAAUGUCGGAGGCAAAGCGAAAGCGAUAAGUAUUCCACCUGGGGAGUACGCCGGCAACGGUGAAACUCAAAUGAAUUGGCGGGG